GUCUUAAUAGUUUAAAUAUAAAACUUUGGUCUUGUAAGUCAAGAAUAACAUAUUGUUUUAAGGCA
rnacentral:tRNA from 1 species